UUACCCUCUUGACCCAUUUGUAAACCCUUUUGUCUACCCUCUACUACCUGUGUCUUGCUGAUGUUUGCUCAGAAAGCUCUUAUCAUUGGUGACCUCUUGAAUUGUUUCUUUAUUAAUGCAUGUCUCUUUAGGCUGAAUUUUGAACAAUUUGUAUGCUCGUACAAGGUUUCCUAUGGCAAUUCCCCAGCAACUGUUCCUGGAAGUGCAGCAGUAGCCCCUCCUAGUGGUGCCCCCUCUAUGGUUCCGCCUGCUGGUUAUCAAACUAAUGCAGCACCACCCACUAGCAGAGGCUUUGAGGCUAAUUUUUAAUCUGAUCAAAUUGGUAUUCUUUCCUCCUGUUUCUUAAUGGAGAAAAGAAGUUAGAAAGCAACCUUAUUCAUCUAUUUUGGAUGAUUAAUGAUGCUUGUAAACUAUUUUCUAGAGUAAAGAAAUUUAAAGCACUCCAGUUCAGAAGUGUUCUGUUGGUAAUGGCUGUAGUACUAUAAGCAUUGAGAAAAGAGGGUUCCAAUGAAUGGUUUGGGUAUGGUUUCUAUGACAAUCUGCUUUUGUUCAAGGCAUUUCGAAAAACACCAAGACGGACUUCCACAUUGUGCCGUCUUCAUUAGAUCUUGUCAUAUGGUAUGUACGGUGCUAAACCCACUAUGGCUAACUUCAAUUACUGUAGACAGACAUAAUAAAUAAUAAGAUAUCAAGAUUUAGCUGAA